GACGAACCGAGCGAACGUUGUUCGGAAUCACUGGGCGUAAAGCGCACGUAGGCGGCUUGUUAAGUCAGGGGUGAAAUCCUGGAGCUCAACUCCAGAACUGCCUUUGAUACUGGCAAGCUUGGAGUCCGGGAGAGGUGAGUGGAACUGCGAGUGUAGAGGUGAAAUUCGUAGAUAUUCGCAAGAACACCAGUGGCGAAGGCGGCUCACUGGCCCGGUACUGACGCUGAGGUGCGAAAGCGUGGGGAGCAAACAGG
rnacentral:rRNA from 1 species